rnacentral:lncRNA from 1 species
AAUAAAUACAUAGAAAAAUUAUAUAAUCACUAUGCUGAUUUAUUUGAUUUAGCCGUACCUACAAAUAUCACUCCAACUGUCGCUCCUCAUCCUCUCGAGGAGCCAUCAUCUUCUAAAAGGCCGGCACAUAAUGAUUUUCCUGAUUCCUUUUAUGAUUUACCUUGUUGAAACAGUGUUGAUGAGAGAGCUUACACAUCAAGUUAUCUGGAAGAGCUAAAAUAUUAUCUUCGGUCGCCGCCAGAAGAUCGCAGACGAUGGAUCAACACGUUGGAUUGGUGGAGGAGUAGUGAAACACAAUAUCCUAUGCUUUCAAGAUUAGCUAGAGAUAUCUUGAACGUUCCAAUGUCAACCGUUGCAUCAGAGAGCGUCUUCAGUCAGGGACGACAGCAGCUUGGAGACAACCAACACUCAUUAGGAAGCAAUGCAAUGAAUGUUCUAGUUUUCCUCAGAGAUUAGAUUAAAGCGGAAAGAAGAAAUCAAGGAAUAAAAUUGGAGCCGAACGACGAGCUGAAACUUGAAGAAAUUAUGUCUUCACGGGAGAACUCAACAGAAUCAAGUCCAAUGCAUGAUUUUGCCCCCGUUGACUUUGACUAUCCUAUGCAAGUUCCCGUUAAUAUUAACAUGAAUGAGUUGGAAAAAAUAAUGCAUAAUUUGUAGAUUUUUCAUUCAUGUAAAUUAUAAAUUUUGGAUUAUUUCGCAAUCAAUAAAAUUCAGCAUUCAUUCAUUCCUUAGUCCUUACUUUGUAAUUUUUUUCAUUUACUAAUUUAAAUUGAAUUUCUAGUUUAAAUUAAAAACUUACUUCUAAUAUAUUAUUAAUUUACUACCAAGUAUUAUUAAUUUAUUAUAUUAAGUAGCAUAUGUUUUGUAUAUUUGUGUAUAUAUCUUCUAUAAAUGUGAUGUACAAAUAUACAAAUACAAAAACAGUUAAAAAGAAAUCAAAUGAAUUUCUGUAAAUCAAUAAUAUAUACCACCCAGAAUUAUGAUAAUAACCAAAGAAAACCAAGAAGAUAUAAAAAGAAUUACAAUAUUAGAGAAAAACUAGAACAAAAUUUAGAUUAUCUAAAAAUUCAAGAAUCAGAAAUAAAUAAAAAGAUACAAUAUUUGAAUAAUAAUUUCAAUCUAGAAAAAAUAUCUACAAAAAUAGAAAUCGAAAAAUUAAUAAAGAAUAUAAUAGAAAAACCUAAAGAAAUAGAAAACAAAACUAUUCUAUCAAUAACUAAAAUAGAAGAAAAAUUACAAAUUAUACAAACUGAUAUAACUAAGUUAAAAAUAUUAACACAAAGACUAGAAGAAAUUUCUCUUUCAUGAAUAUAGAAGAUAUAAACUAUAAAAAAGCUUUAGAAACUUCAAAAAUAUUUCAUACCAAACCAGAAGGAUUUUCUUUACAUCUACCAAUAGACCAGUCAGAAAAAACAAUUGUAAAACAAAAUAAUACUAUAAUAGCAUUAUUAAUAGAUUUACAUGCUAAAAUAGAUACCAUAAUAAAAGGAAAAAAAAUUAGCAAAUCAGUCGAAGAACAAGAAUUAUCUGAACUACAUAAAAAGAUAGAUUUCUUAUUAAAAAAAUAAAGAAGAUAAAGAACCAGAUAAAAAUCCUGAGAACUUAUUUAAUGAAGAAACUAUAGGAGAGAGGGAGUACUGAGUAGGAUUUUACAACAUAUUUGCAUUAACCAAUCAAAAAUUGUCAUUCUAUGUUUAUUGUAUUUUAUUGAGACAUCUUUUUAUUUAAGUGUCUAUUUUAUUGGUAUCAGAGCAAGAAGGUUUUGAGAACAUUACCUAUUAACUCGCAAUUUUUUUUUAAUUUAUACUAGUGUAUGAAAAGACAUAAAUCUUUCCAAGAUAUAAGGUGUAGCUAUUUCUGUUUAUAUAGAGAAAUUAGAAAAAGAGAUAAUAUUGUAGCUAGAAAACAUAACUUAGAAAAAGUAGAAAAAGGUUACUAGAGGCAAAUAGAUUAUAUAAAUUAUAUAAUACAUCUAGACCAGUGUGUGAUAGAUUAGUAAGUGCGUUAAAUUGAAAAAUACAAGGUUGUAAUAGAGAUUUAGAAAAUAAUAGUACAGGAAUAAAGUGGCUUAAGGAACGUAUUAGUAAAAAAUCUUAUCAAUUAGGAUAAUAUAUACAAGCCUUACCUAUUUCCAAAGAUUAAGAAGAAUAAAUAAGUGGAUAGAAGAAGAAUUUGGUAUAAAAAUUGAAUUAAGAAAGAUAAAUAUAGCAUUAAAAUAAAAUAUAGAAAUAAUAAAAAAUAAGCCAGCUCAAGAAGAAUUAGACGAAUUAGAUUUAAUAUAUUAUAAAAGAUUAUUAGCAUAUUUUGAAGAAGACCUAGAAUCUACUAAAAUACGAUUAGAAAACUGUUCUUGGAGAAUAAAGUUUUACCAAAAACAAGCCAAUAAAAUUCCUUUAGGAUAAUAGAUGCCUAUAAGAUACAUCAGAUAUAUUAGAGAAAUUCAAAGUCAAUAUUAUAGAGAGUUUAUAUAUAAACAUCAAAUAAUAAAUAUUCUAAAACAGUCUAAAGAAAGGCUAGAAUUAUUAUCUAAAGAAAUAAAGAACCUAGAAAAAGAUAUUUUAAACUUUAAAGAAACAGAUGUAGAAACAAUGUAUAAGUAUCUAGAAACCUUUUUAGGAGAAUUAGCAAAAGCUACAUCGGAAGGAUUCAAAUCUAAUUUCCCAUAAGAUUUUCAAAUUUUAAUAGCAAUGGGACCAAACCCCUAUAAUUUUACAAAUAAAAUGCAUAAUUUAUUAACAGGAAAAGACCCAAAUAGUGGUCUAAUAACAUUACAAAAAGAUGCAUUGAUAAAAUUAGAACAAUUAAACAUCUCACACUGAAUGCAUAUAAAAAACUUUUUAAAAGAUUAUUUUUAUUAUUGUACAACUAGUGAUAAUACUUUUAAUGAAGAAUUAAAUUAGGAAAGAAAUUAUUUAAUAAAUUACCAGGAUCAUUAGGAAGAGAAAUAGAAGAAAGAUGGUAUAAAAGAGAUGGACUAAUUCAAUACCCAAAUGCUAGAUGGACUAUAGGACAAAGAAUACAACAUGUAAUAGAUAUAUUAACAGAGAAAUGUAUAAAUAUACAAAUACAAAAACAGUUAAAAAGAAAUGAAAUGAAUUUCUGUAAAUCAAUAAUAUAUACCACCCAGAAUUAUGAUAAUAACCAAAGAAAACCAAGAAGAUAGAAAAAGAAUUACAAUAAUUACAACAAAAAAUCAUACACUCGUAAAAGAUAUUUUCAAAGAAAAUCACAAACAAAGAAACCUUAUUUAAAUAGAGAUAGGCAUGUUAGAAAAUAUAGAAAUGAUAGAAAUUAUAGAAAUAAACUAGAAUGUUAUACAUGUGGAAGUCCAGAUCAUUUAGCAAAUAUAUGCCCUAAAAGAAACAAUAGCAGAACUAGAAACUCUCAGCUAAUAGAAGAUUUUCAAGAAACAUUAUUAAAUGUAGACAAAUAUAUGUCAAACACAGAAAGCAUAUAUUCUAUAGUAAGUUUCGAAUUAAAUGAAAAUAACAAAACAGACGCAUCAGACUUUGAAGAAGAUAACCUGAUAAAUGAAAUAGGACAACAAAUAGAUGAUUUAGACUUAAAUAGUUUAGUAAUAAAUAACUUAAUGAAUGUCGCAGAAGAAUGUACCCAUGAGUUCCAAAAAAAUAAAGGAAUAGAUAGUAAUAGAUGUCAAAUUUGUAAAUGGUAUCCUAGUAAGGAAUACAGAGCUAAAUGUAGCAAAUGUUACAUGGAAGCCUGUAUAAAUUGUAUAGAAACUACCUUAAAAAUAAAAAUAGAAUCAAACGUAAAUAAUGAACAAAGAUAUACAACUAAUCAAAUCACGAAUCUAAGAGUAACAACUAUAGAGGAUAGAUUAAAUGAGCUAGAACACAGAAUAAAUACAUUAGAAAAAGGAAAAGCUAAACAAUAUGAAGAUGAAAAUAGUAGACAAAGAACGGAACAUUUAGAACAAAUAGAAAUAGAGCUUAUGAACACAGAAAAUAAUAGUGGACUAAUAUGCAACGAAGAUAAAGACUUUUCUACGGUAAAAGUAUUAGUAAAAAUAAAAAUUAAAGAUAUAGAAAUAGAAACAUCAGCUUUAAUAGAUCCAGAAUAUACUAGUUGUAUAAUAAAUAAAGAGAUAAUACCAGAAAACAUAUUAAAAACAUAUAAAACACCAAUUGCAGCAAUGCAAAUGGAUGGAUCCAGAAAUAUUUAUCAUCACUAUAUAGAGAAAGUCCAAAUAAGUUUCUUAAAUAUGUGUAAUAAAUAUUACGAACCUACUUAUAAUAUUAAUCAAGUAUUAGUAAGAAAUAUAAAUAUUGGAACAGACUUUGUGAUAGGAUUAAAAUUUUGUAUACACAACAGGGGAGGUUGCCUUAUAACUAGAGAUGGUAUAAUGUUAUUCAAGAACCUCACACAUACUCCCGUAAUAACUUCAAAAUUACCUACAGUAUAUGUUUUAUUCAAAAUAGUACAUAUAUAUUGAAUGAUGCGUAUAUAUAUUUUCUAUAGAUGUGUAUAUUUAACGUAUACAUGUGUAUAUGUUUUAUAAAUUAGUGUAUAUAUAUAUAUAUAUAUACACACACACACAUUGUAAUGUAUAUAUAUUGUAGUAUAGUUUUAUUUAAACUUUAAAGUAGCACAUAUACAUUGAAUGGUGCGUAUAUAUGUGUAAUUUUGUAUAUGUGUAUAUAUUUUUUAAAUUCUAAUGUAGUAUAUACUAUAUAUAGUGUGUAUAUAUAUUGUUUAACGUAUUUAAAAAUGUAUAUAGGUGGGUAUAUAUAGUGUAUAUUGAAAAAAAAUUUUUUUUUUACCGGAUUUAAUCAAUUUUUAACUGGAUUUAGGUGGGUUUAACCGGGUUGAGUUAAAUGGACCGGAUUAAAGUUGUUUUUAAAAAUUUUACGGACCGAUCCAGCCCACUUAAUCCCAACUCAGCCUCGAUCCGGCCCACAAUUUGACCAAUUCUAACGGGCCAAUUCUGAGUUGAUCCGAUCCGACCCACUUGACACCCUUACCUCGCUUAUCAAAAAGAAGUCAGCGACAACAAUCCACUGGAUACUAGACUUUACCAAUUGGUGACCUUACUUUUUAAUGGUUGCAGCUAAGAAUGAAAUUUCUAGUACUUUAUAUACUUUUUCUGAAAAUUUAUUAAAUAUUUCACCUAUAUAUGGUCUUCCACAGUCAUUAAUAGGUUUGGGCUAUUAAAAUUUAAACGUUAUACAUAUCAAACUUAACUUUAUUAUUAGGGAUUUGAAAAUAGUAAAGUGAACGUAUAUCUUGUCAUUAUUUUAAAGAUGGAUAUCCAUUUUUAGCUAAUUUUUUUUGACUAAAAACAACAGUUGAAAAUAAUAUUAUAAAAAAUAAGAAAAAAAUAAGACCAUGACAAAAUACUAUAAAAUAUUACUCUUCAUCAUUUCAAUUUAUUUGACCUAUUUUCUUUAUCUCUCAAUAGGUUUUAACAUAUUUUUAAUUUACAACCAUAAAACUUAAAUUUUCAUUUUAAUUUUUAAAUGAUUCUCUUACAAAGAAUAUAUUCAGACCAUCAUCGGAAAAAAAAUCUCCACUAAAAAAAUGAGGCAGAUUAUUCCCUUCAUUACACUUGUGUUGGUGGUGGGUCCCACUAACACCAUUAGUCACUAUGCUUAGAGAAGUAAUCAAGAUUACUUUAUACAAACAAGCUCAAAAAAAUUGCCUUUUUACAACGCUCCAAACUUUCCAUGAACAGUUAUAAAAGAUUUAUUUUUUUUCAAGUAAAAAGGCAAAGCAAAGAUCAAGAAUGGUAGUACUAUUUUCAAGAAAAUCUUGAAGACAAUAUAGUAAGCAGAUCAAGAAAAUGGAACUUACUAUAAAGAAAACAAAAUGGAUGUUUCCUUUAGCUUUUGCUGUUUUAGUUUCCUUCUUCUUAAUCAUUUUCACUCUUUCAACUAAAACCCCAUUUCAAAAAUCAUCCAAUAAAGCUAAAGUUCCAAUCUUUGUUGAAUCAAUAUUACAUAU